rnacentral:rRNA from 1 species
CAGGAACAGUGAGGAUAUUGGACAUGGGCGAAGCCUGAUCCAGCCAUGCCGCGUGUGUGAAGAAGGUCUUCGGAUUGUAAAGCACUUUAAGUUGGGAGGAAGGGCAGUAACCUAAUACGUUAUUGUUUUGACGUUACCGACAGAAUAAGCACCGGCUAACUUCGUGCCAGCAGCCGCGGUAAU